rnacentral:rRNA from 1 species
CAGUAGCCGCGGGAAUACGUAGGUCCCGAGCGUUGUCCGGAUUUAUUGGGCGUAAAGCGAGCGCAGGCGGUUAGAUAAGUCUGAAGUUAAAGGCUAUGGCUUAACCAUAGUACGCUUUGGAAACUGCUUAACUUGAGUGCAAGAGGGGAGAGUGGAAUUCCAUGUGUAGCGGUGAAAUGCGUAGAUAUAUGGAGGAACACCGGUGGCGAAAGCGGCUCUCUGGCUUGUAACUGACGCUGAGGCUCGAAAGCGUGGGGAGCAAACAGGAUUAGAUACCCCUGUAGUCCCUGUCUCUUAUACA